CCUACGGGUGGCAGCAGUGAGGAAUCUUGGUCAAUGGGCGAGAGCCUGAACCAGCCAAGUCGCGUGAAGGAAGAAGGAUCUAUGGUUUGUAAACUUCUUUUAUAUGGGAAUAAAGUGAGGCACGUGUUCCUCUUUGUAUGUACCAGAUGAAUAAGCAUCGGCUAACUCCGUGCCAGCAGCCGCGGUAAUACGGAGGAUGCGAGCGUUAUCCGGAUUUAUUGGGUUUAAAGGGUGCGUAGGUGGUUAAUGAAGUCAGCGGUGAAAGUGUGGGGCGCAACCCUAAAAUUGCCGUUGAAACUGGUUGACUUGAGUGUAUUUGAGGUAGGCGGAAUGCGUGGUGUAGCGGUGAAAUGCAUAGAUAUCACGCAGAACUCCGAUUGCGAAGGCAGCUUACU
rnacentral:rRNA from 1 species